rnacentral:rRNA from 1 species
AACGAACGCUGGCGGCAUGCCUAACACAUGCAAGUCGAACGAGACCUUCGGGUCUAGUGGCGCACGGGUGCGUAACGCGUGGGAACCUGCCCUUAGGUUCGGAAUAACUCCCCGAAAGGGGUGCUAAUACCGGAUAAUGUCUUCGGACCAAAGAUUUAUCGCCUUUGGAUGGGCCCGCGUUGGAUUAGCUAGUUGGUAGGGUAAAAGCCUACCAAGGCGACGAUCCGUAGCUGGUCUGAGAGGAUGAUCAGCCACACUGGGACUGAGACACGGCCCAGACUCCUACGGGAGGCAGCAGUGGGGAAUAUUGGACAAUGGGCGAAAGCCUGAUCCAGCAAUGCCGCGUGAGUGAUGAAGGCCUUAGGGUUGUAAAGCUCUUUUACCCGGGAUGAUAAUGACAGUACCGGGAGAAUAAGCUCCGGCUAACUCCGUG